rnacentral:rRNA from 1 species
AGUGAACGCUGGCGGUAGGCCUAACACAUGCAAGUCGAACGGCAGCACAGUAAGAGCUUGCUCUUACGGGUGGCGAGUGGAGGACGGGUGAGGAAUACAUCGGAAUCUACUUUUUCGUGGGGGAUAACGUAGGGAAACUUACGCUAAUACCGCAUACGACCUACGGGUGAAAGCAGGGGAUCUUCGGACCUUGCGCGAUUGAAUGAGCCGAUGUCGGAUUAGCUAGUUGGCGGGGUAAAGGCCCACCAAGGCGACGAUCCGUAGCUGGUCUGAGAGGAUGAUCAGCCACACUGGAACUGAGACACGGUCCAGACUCCUACGGGAGGCAGCAGUGGGGAAUAGUGGACAAUGGGCGCAAGCCUGAUCCAGCCAUACCGCGUGGGUGAAGAAGGCCUUCGGGUUGUAAAGCCCUUUUGUUGGGAAAGAAAAGCAGCAGGUUAAUACCCCGCUGUUCUGACGGUACCCAAAGAAUAAGCACCGGCUAACUUCG